AGUGAACGCUGGCGGUAGGCCUAACACAUGCAAGUCGAACGGCAGCACAGUAAGAGCUUGCUCUUACGGGUGGCGAGUGGCGGACGGGUGAGGAAUACAUCGGAAUCUACUUUUUCGUGGGGGAUAACGUAGGGAAACUUACGCUAAUACCGCAUACGACCUACGGGUGAAAGCAGGGGAUCGUCGGACCUUGCGCGAUUGAAUGAGCCGAUGUCGGAUUAGCUAGUUGGCGGGGUAAAGGCCCACCAAGGCGACGAUCCGUAGCUGGUCUGAGAGGAUGAUCAGCCACCCUGGAACUGAGACCCGGUCCAGACUCCUACGGGAGGCAGCAGUGGGGAAUAUUGGACAAUGGGCGCAAGCCUGAUCCAGCCAUACCGCGUGGGUGAAGAAGGCCUUCGGGUUGUAAAGCCCUUUUGUUGGGAAAGAAAAGCAGCAGGUUAAUACCGCGCUGUUCUGACGGUACCCAAAGAAUAAGCACCGGCUAACUUCGUG
rnacentral:rRNA from 1 species